rnacentral:lncRNA from 1 species
AUAAUAUGAGGAAAGAGAGGGCACAGAGGUGUAAUUUGUCAGAGUGGAUGGAGAUCUGUAUUAUCUAUCAUAUAAUAUUCAGGGAAGUAAGAGAUUGAUUAAAAUAGCAACGUGCUGAAGAGUCUUCCAUUGAACAUGCAUCAGUAGCCUUCCCAAGGUUAGAGAAAAUCCACUCUCUUCUCUGAUCUAUUGUUUAUGACCACUGCUUUGUCUUUUGAUUCAGAUGAUAUUGAAAAAGAAUUGAAUUAUCCUUUUGUUCUGCGGGUCAAACAUCUAGAUUUGUCAAAUCAAUGGAAACAUUGUGCACUAAAUUCGUUGAUCUUACUAAGUUGGUUGUAUUUUGAUUUUGAAUCUUUUCAGUUAAUGUCUUGUCAAUUUGUGAUUUGAUGUUCAGGAGAAAGAUGAAGACGGUUGCCGUGGCAUUGUUGGUUGCUUUAAUUGUUGUUGUUGAAGUCCCUUUCUAAUGAGACUUCAUCAGAGUAGUUGGUUGUUAAGUAGUUAAAAGGUGGUUAGAAUGAUUAAGGGUAGUAUAGUCUUUUCUAUUAAAAGUUGUUAUAACUAAUUCUUCCAAUAGUUAGUUACACAAACAACUAUAAAUACAUGUUCAUGCUAUUGUACAAGUG